GACGUCUUCCACGGGAGAAACUGAACAUUCAGUCAAUAUGGUUGAACCUGGUGGGUUUGGUGAUAUUGAGAUGACAGAAGAGGAGAUGCAAAUUUAUGAGGAAGAAGAACGGAAGAAUGAGGAGUUUGAAAA